rnacentral:rRNA from 1 species
GUGCCAGCCGCCGCGGUCAUACGUAGGGUGCAAGCAUUAUCCGGAGUGACUGGGCGUAAAGGGUUGCGUAGGUGGUUUGUUAAGCAGGUAGUGAAAUCUGGCGGCUCAACCGUACAGGCUAUUACCUGAACUGGCAAACUCGAGAAUGGUAGAGGUAACUGGAAUUUCUUGUGUAGGAGUGAAAUCCGUAGAUAUAAGAAGGAACACCAAUGGCGUAGGCAGGUUACUGGACCAUUUCUGACACUAAGGCACGAAAGCGGUGGGAGCGAACGGGAUUAGAUACCCGGUAGUCCACGCCGUAAACGAUGGAUACUAGCUGUUGGA